rnacentral:tRNA from 1 species
GGAGUUGUAGCUUAGUGGUAGAGCACUUGCCUCAUCUGUGUGAAGCACUGGGUUCGAUUCCCAGCACCA